rnacentral:rRNA from 1 species
CCUACGGGAGGCAGCAGUGGGGAAUAUUGGACAAUGGGCGAAAGCCUGAUCCAGCAAUGCCGCGUGAGUGAUGAAGGCCUUCGGGUCGUAAAGCUCUUUUACCAGGGAUGAUAAUGACAGUACCUGGAGAAUAAGCUCCGGCUAACUCCGUGCCAGCAGCCGCGGUAAUACGGAGGGAGCUAGCGUUGUUCGGAAUUACUGGGCGUAAAGAGUACGUAGGCGGUUAUUCAAGUCAGAGGUGAAAGCCCGGGGCUCAACCCCGGAACUGCCUUUGAAACUAGAUAACUAGAGUCUUGGAGAGGUUAGUGGAAUUCCGAGUGUAGAGGUGAAAUUCGUAGAUAUUCGGAAGAACACCAGUGGCGAAGGCGACUAACUGGACAAGUACUGACGCUGAGGUACGAAAGCGUGGGGAGCAAACAGGAUUAGAUACCCUGGUAGUCCACGCCGUAAACGAUGAUAACUAGUUGUUCGGUCACUUGGUGACUGAGUGACGCAGCUAACGCAUUAAGUUAUCCGCCUGGGGAGUACGGUCGCAAGAUUAAAACUCAAAUGAAUUGACGGCUGAGAGNGCGAGCGACACGAGGAGAGG